GCCAAUGUGGUGUAGCGGUUUGAGCGUUGGACGAUGACUCUGGGGACCAGGGUUCGAUUCCCAGCUUGGCCA
rnacentral:tRNA from 1 species